UAAAUAAUUGAAUAAGUUUUG
rnacentral:piRNA from 1 species